ACUAACAGGAAUAUACUACUUUAUACUACAGUAGAACCCCGCAAAUCCGAACUAAUUGGGGGACAGCCUGUUCAGAUUCUGAAAAGUUCGGAUUAUCCGAAAGUUAGCCUAAGAAGCUAACGAAGAUGAUUUUUAAAAGAUUUGGACUGCCACCGAUCCCUUUAUGAAACUUUAUCCGCACGUUUAUGCCUCCAAUAUUCUAAAGCUUAAAAAUAUUUAGAUUUAGAUCACUGAAAUAUUAAAUCGCUGACUAUAGUAGUUUUGUUUCCUCAGGGGACAUGGGAAUUCGGCCAUGUAAAUGAUUCAUUUAAUUUGUAAUCUGGAUAUUGAUUACACUAUGUUUCUCAUGUUUCUUAUCUUUUUCAAUGUUUUCCUUCAUGGUAUUAGGGAAUCCAUCGACCUGUCAAAGUUAAAUCACGUGAUCUUUGGUUGGCACACAAAACUGUUCUUAACCUAAACUCAAUGUAAUUAUUGAUUUUUCUUAUUUGUUUUUUGUCGUGAUUUUGAGGUAGUAUAGUAUUUAAAGACAUUCAUUAGAUUAAUUAUUUUAUAAACUUUACGUUUUUGGUGAUUUUGAGUGCUGACAACAUGCCUGUGACUUGUAUAUUAGUGAACUGUGGAAGUCCAACUGAUCGGGAUAAUGUUAAUUUUAAUUUGUUUUUUGUCCUGAUUUUGAGCUAAUAUAGUAUUUAAAGACAUUCAUUAGAUUAAUUAUUUUAUAAACUUUACGUUCUUGGUGAUUUUGAGUGCUGACAACAUGCCUGUCACUUGUAUAAUAGUGAACUGUGCAAUGAACUGUGCAAGUCCAACUGAUCAGAAUAAUGUUAAUUUUAAUUUGUUUUUUGUCGUGAUUUUGAGCUUAAUAUAGUAUUUAAAGACAUUCAUUAGAUUAAUUAUUUUAUAAACUUUUCGUUUGUGGUGAUUUUAAGUGCUGAAAACAUGCCUGUAAUCUGUAUAGUAGUGAACUGUGGAAGUCGAGCUGAUCGGAUAAUGUUAAUUUUUUUCGUGUUCCCUCUAUAGGGCUUUUCAUUCACAGUCAUUUGUUUUGAGCUUCUGUCAUAUGUCGUAUAAUCCGUGUAUAGUAAUAUUAUACACAGAUUAUACAACAUCUGACAGAAGCUCGAAACAAAUGACAAUCGAUGAAAACGUAUUAGAAACUCAUUUAUGUUUCCUCACCUAACUAAAUUGUCAAAUAACAGGACGCACUCAUGCUAGGAAUUAUGGUUUUUAUUAAUAUUAUUACAAUUAUUUAUAUGUGACACUAACGUAACUAGUGACAUUCAUUUUUAGGCCAAUGUGACAAACUUUAUUAAUACUAAAUUUUAACAUUUAUCCCCUAUUUUGUUAAAACAAUAUUAUUUUGUUUUUCAUUCUAUUCAAAAUAAAUGCAGUUUUGACAGGGAA